rnacentral:rRNA from 1 species
CCUACGGGAGGCAGCAGUCGAGAAUUUUUCACAAUGGGGGAAACCCUGAUGGUGCGACGCCGCGUGGGGGAAUGAAGGUCUUCGGAUUGUAAACUCCUGUCAUGUGGGAGAAAAUUAAAAAGAUAGUACCACAAGAGGAAGAGACGACUAACUCUGUGCCAGAAGCCGCGGUAAUACAGAGGCCUCAAGCGUUGUGCGGAAUCACUGGGCGUAAGGUGUGCGUUGGCUGUUUCGUAAGUCGUGUGUGAAAGGCGCGGGCUCAACCCGCGGACGGCACAGGAUACUGCGCGACUAGAGUGAGGGAGGGGUAAGCGGAAUUCUUGGUGUAGCAGUGAAAUGCGUAGAUAUCAAGAGGAACAC